rnacentral:rRNA from 1 species
GACGAACCGUGCGAACGUUAUUCGGAAUCACUGGCUUAAAGCGCGUGUAGGCGGGGUGGCACGUCCGUCGCUGAAUCCCCGCUCAACCGGGGACGGCGCGAUACGACCAUCCUCGAGGGACGUAGGGGACCUGGAACUUCCGGUGGAGCGGUGAAAUGCGUUGAGAUCGGAAGGAACGCCCGUGGCGAAAGCGAAGGUCCUCGGACGUCGUCGCUGACGCU